ACUGCCCCCUAGAGGCUGUGCAGUGUGACUAGGUGUCAUGUCUGUGUCAGUAGGUGGCGCAGAGCGAGGGGCUGCCACUACAGACAGCGCUCAGGAUUUUAUGGGUGCUCAGAAUGACUUGCAGCCAUACAGC
ensembl:snoRNA small nucleolar RNA SNORA17